ensembl:lncRNA
AGAGGCUGACCGACAUCUAUAGGAGGGAGAGGAGGCUGACCGACAUCUAUAGGAGGGAGAAGAGGCUGACCGACAUCGAUAGGAGGGAGAGGAGGCUGACCGACAUCUAUAGGAGGGAGAGGAGGCUGACGACAUCUAUAGGAGGGAGAGGAGGCUGACGACAUCUAUAGGAGGGAGAGGAGGCUGACCGACAUCUAUAGGAGGGAGAGGAGGCUGACCGACAUCUAUAGGAGGGAGAGGAGGCUGACCGAUAUCUAUAGGAGGGAGAGGAGGCUGACCGAUAUCUAUAGGAGGGAGAGGAGGCUGACCGACAUCUAUAGGAGGGAGAGGAGGCUGACCGACAUCUAUAGGAGGGAGAGGGGACAGACUGACUGAUAUCUAUAUGAGGGAGAGGAGGCU